UUCGGCGCGUGCAAGCCCUCCAGCACCACCUUCACCUUGCCGUACACAUCGUCCGGAGCCGCCACAGCGCUGAUCACGUGGCACUUGCCCUGCGUAAGGUAGUGGUCCUUCACAGGCAGCGACUGAUCCAGGAAGGUGCGGAAGCGCUUGCGAAUGGUGUCGGCGUUGUCGUCGCUGCGGCCGCUGGUCUCCCCGCGCUUCAGCAGGCGCUUCUCCAUCUCCUCCUCCGGGCAGUCGAAGAACAGCACCGUCUUGCACGGCAUGAUGCUGCUCUCAAACUGCGCCGCCUGGUCCAGCGCGCGCGGAAAGCCGUCGAUGAGGAAGAACUUGCCGCCGCUGGCUAUCAUGUCCCGCUUCAGCAGGUUAAGCGUGACAGCCACCGGCACGAGCUUGCCCUCCUUCAUCAGCGCCUCGCACUUCUGGCCGACCUCGCUGCCGCUCUUCACCUCAGCGCGCAGCAGGUCGCCGGCGCUGAGGUGCACGCACUCGUAGUCGGCCUUAAUCUUGUCGCAUUGCGUCCCCUUGCCGCUGCCGGGGCCGCCGAGCACGAACACGAUCUGGGCGUCGGCAGGCAGGUUGCCGGGCACAGGUGGCAGCGCGAUGUCCUGCAUAAAAGCAACCAAGGGAACAAACGUGCAAUCAUAAGGUGUUGGCUGUGGCGCCGACCAUGACCCAGUGCCCUUGUACACAAAGCAAUGGGGCGUGCCGUACGCGCCGCACACACAGAACAGCGGUUUGGUGGCUGGAAACAUAAGAUGCGGCACGGUAUCCCUAUCUGCAGGUCGGCUUCUCAAGUGUUCAACUUAGGCAAGACGCACCUCCGAAGCAGCCGGGGCCGCUGCAAGUGCCGUCGCCGCUGCGCUCGCCUUCUUCGGCGCGUGCAAGCCCUCCAGCACCACCUUCACCUUGCCGUACACAUCGUCCGGAGCCGCCACAGCGCUGAUCACGUGGCACUUGCCCUGCGUAAGGUAGUGGUCCUUCACGGGCAGCGACUGAUCCAGGAAGGUGUGGAAGCGCUUGCGAAUGGUGUCGGCGUUGUCGUCGCUGCGGCCGCUGGUCUCCCCGCGCUUCAGCAGGCGCUUCUCCAUCUCCUCCUCCGGGCAGUCAAAGAACAGCACCGUCUUGCACGGCAUGAUGCUGCUCUCAAACUGCUCCGCCUGGUCCAGCGCGCGUGGAAAGCCGUCGAUGAGGAAGAACUUGCCGCCGCUGGCUAUCAUGUCCCGCUUCAGCAGGUUGAGCGUGACAGCCACCGGCACGAGCUUGCCCUCCUUCAUCAGCGCCUCGCACUUCUGGCCAACCUCGCUGCCGCUCUUCACCUCAGCGCGCAGCAGGUCGCCGGCGCUGAGGUGCACGCACUCAUACUCCUCCUUGAUCUGAUCGCAUUGCGUGCCCUUGCCGCUGCCGGGGCCGCCGAGCACGAACACGAUCUGGGCGUCGGCAGGCAGGCUGCCGGGCACGGGCGGCAGCGCAAACUCCUGCAUAGGGACGAAAAUGCAAUGGAAAUCAGCAAGCCGAGAUUAAUAAUCAGUGGAAACUUACGCAUCAGUACACUUGCACUUCAGUACGCAUCCUACUACCGGGAGGAUACGGUAAGGCAGGCAGGCAGAGGCCAUCGAUUUCACGCUUGCCCCAGCUUUCCGUACGAUGUACCGUAUGCUAGGUUGCUUGACCGGAACCCGUGCAAGACGCACACGGAUAUACCACCGGUGAACAGCCAUGACCGCUCACCUCCAAAGCAGCCGCAGCAGGAGUAGCCGAAACUGUCGCAGUCACGCCCGCCUUCUUCGGCGCGUGCAAGCCCUCCAGCACCACCUUCACCUUGCCGUACACAUCGUCCGGAGCCGCCACAGCGCUGAUCACGUGGCACUUGCCCUGCGUAAGGUAGUGGUCCUUCACAGGCAGCGACUGAUCCAGGAAGGUGCGGAAGCGCUUGCGAAUGGUGUCGGCGUUGUCGUCGCUGCGGCCGCUGGUCUCCCCGCGCUUCAGCAGGCGCUUCUCCAUCUCCUCCUCCGGGCAGUCGAAGAACAGCACCGUCUUGCACGGCAUGAUGCUGCUCUCAAACUGCGCCGCCUGGUCCAGCGCGCGCGGAAAGCCGUCGAUGAGGAAGAACUUGCCGCCGCUGGCUAUCAUGUCCCGCUUCAGCAGGUUAAGCGUGACAGCCACCGGCACGAGCUUGCCCUCCUUCAUCAGCGCCUCGCACUUCUGGCCGACCUCGCUGCCGCUCUUCACCUCAGCGCGCAGCAGGUCGCCGGCGCUGAGGUGCACGCACUCGUAGUCGGCCUUAAUCUUGUCGCAUUGCGUCCCCUUGCCGCUGCCGGGGCCGCCGAGCACGAACACGAUCUGGGCGUCGGCAGGCAGGUUGCCGGGCACAGGUGGCAGCGCGAUGUCCUGCAUAAAAGCAACCAAGGGAACAAACGUGCAAUCAUAAGGUGUUGGCUGUGGCGCCGACCAUGACCCAGUGCCCUUGUACACAAAGCAAUGGGGCGUGCCGUACGCGCCGCACACACAGAACAGCGGUUUGGUGGCUGGAAACAUAAGAUGCGGCACGGUAUCCCUAUCUGCAGGUCGGCUUCUCAAGUGUUCAACUUAGGCAAGACGCACCUCCGAAGCAGCCGGGGCCGCUGCAAGUGCCGUCGCCGCUGCGCUCGCCUUCUUCGGCGCGUGCAAGCCCUCCAGCACCACCUUCACCUUGCCGUACACAUCGUCCGGAGCCGCCACAGCGCUGAUCACGUGGCACUUGCCCUGCGUAAGGUAGUGGUCCUUCACGGGCAGCGACUGAUCCAGGAAGGUGUGGAAGCGCUUGCGAAUGGUGUCGGCGUUGUCGUCGCUGCGGCCGCUGGUCUCCCCGCGCUUCAGCAGGCGCUUCUCCAUCUCCUCCUCCGGGCAGUCAAAGAACAGCACCGUCUUGCACGGCAUGAUGCUGUUCUCAAACUGCGCCGCCUGGUCCAGCGCGCGCGGAAAGCCGUCGAUGAGGAAGAACUUGCCGCCGCUGGCUAUCAUGUCCCGCUUCAGCAGGUUGAGCGUGACAGCCACCGGCACGAGCUUGCCCUCCUUCAUCAGCGCCUCGCACUUCAGGCCGACCUCACUGCCGCUCUUCACCUCAGCGCGCAGCAG
rnacentral:lncRNA from 1 species